UACGGAGGGUGCAAGCGUUAUCCGGAUUCACUGGGUUUAAAGGGUGCGUAGGUGGGCAGGUAAGUCAGUGGUGAAAUCUCUGGGCUUAACCCGGAAACUGCCGUUGAUACUAUCUGUCUUGAAUGUAGUGGAGGUGAGCGGAAUAUGUCAUGUAGCGGUGAAAUGCUUAGAUAUGACAUAGAACAUCGAUUGCGAAGGCAGCUCGCUACACUAUGAUUGACACUGAGGCACGAAAGCGUGGGGAUCAAACCGG
rnacentral:rRNA from 1 species